rnacentral:rRNA from 1 species
GGGAAUAUUGGGCAAUGGACGGAAGUCUGACCCAGCCAUGCCGCGUGCAGGAAGAAGGCCUUCUGGGUUGUAAACUGCUUUUAUCUAGGAAGAAAACACCCAUGCGUGGGAAACUGACGGUACUAGAUGAAUAAGCACCGGCUAACUCCGUGCCAGCAGCCGCGGUAAUACGGAGGGUGCAAGCGUUGUCCGGAUUUAUUGGGUUUAAAGGGUGCGUAGGCGGCCCGUUAAGUCAGUGGUGAAAUCCUCCAGCUCAACUGGAGAACUGCCAUUGAUACUGGCGGGCUUGAGUACAGACGAGGUUGGCGGAAUUGAUAGUGUAGCGGUGAAAUGCAUAGAUACUAUCAAGAACACCGAUUGCGUAGGCAGCUAACUAGGCUGUAACUGACGCUGAGGCACGAAAGCGUGGGGAGCGAA